GGUGAGGUUUUCCUUCUAGUCAUUUUGCUCAGUGCAGAGUGGCCAAAAGCAAGUUGUAUUGGGAAAAGGAGAAAAAGAGGAGAGAAAGAAGGAAAGAAAAGAGAAAGAGAAAAAAAAGGAAGAAAAAGAGAAAGAAAAAGAAAGGAGGAAAAAAAGGGGGUGGGGGAAGGAAACAACUCAAAAAGCAAAACAAACAAAACAAAACAAAAACAAAACAAAAAAAAAAGAACCACCGGGGAGUAUCUUCUGAUUCUGUGUACUUUAAGUCCCUUGGCUUCUCCUGGAAGUUGUCCGUCUAGCUGGUCUUCUGGGGGAGGGGCCUGUUGUGCUGAUUUUCAGGUGUUAGCACUUGGGGGAGCUGCUGUGCCCCUGCCUGGUGCAGGGCUCAGUGGGGGUUGUUUACCCAGUGAGGCCGCAGGAGGAACAGCCCCAGUGGCGGGGCAGCUCUGGAAACCUGGAUUCAGCUCCGGCAGGAACUCCGUCUGCAGGGCCUGGAGGCUCCGGGGCGGGGCCGCUGAUCUGCUCAGCUCGGGGCAGGAGCGUCCUCGCUGUCCCGGCCCUCCCGGCCUCUGCCUGUCCCGGGGGAGGCCGGAUCCUGGGCUGUGUCCCGGCGCCCUGUGCUCCGGAGCCUGCGCUGGUGGAUUCGCGCUCCCGGGCCGCGCAGCCCCCUCCGCGGAGCCGCCGCCCGAGCCCCUCCGAGCUGCUCCUGGAACCGCGCAGCCCCCUCCGCACGGAGCCUCUUCCUCUGCCCGAGCCCCUCCGAGCUGCUCCGGGUCCCGCCGGGUCCCGCCGUGCGCUGCAGCCCUUAGGGAGCUCGGCGCACUCUCCUGGGCGCGCAGUUGCUCUGUUACUGUCGCGGGGAGCCCGAGGGCAUCCCCGCCCUCCUGGGUCCUGCUCCAACUCCCUGCGAGCCCCUUUCCGCCCGGGAAGGUCGGUGCAGCUCCUGCUCCUCCGGGACGGGGCUCUCCUGUCCUGGGGACACUCGCCCCGGCCUCAGCCCGGCUCCUCGCGGGCCCCUCCCCCUUGGAGGCCUUUGUUCCUUUAUUUCUUUUUCCCCGUCUUCCUACCUGA
rnacentral:lncRNA from 12 species